rnacentral:rRNA from 1 species
CCAUAGGUUAAUGAGGCGAACCGGGGGAACUGAAACAUCUAAGUACCCCGAGGAAAAGAAAUCAACCGAGAUUCCCCCAGUAGCGGCGAGCGAACGGGGAGCAGCCCAGAGCCUGAAUCAGUGUGUGUGUUAGUGGAAGCGUCUGGAAAGGCGCGCGAUACAGGGUGACAGCCCCGUACACAAAAAUGCACAUGCUGUGAGCUCGAUGAGUAGGGCGGGACACGUGGUAUCCUGUCUGAAUAUGGGGGGACCAUCCUCCAAGGCUAAAUACUCCUGACUGACCGAUAGUGAACCAGUACCGUGAGGGAAAGGCGAAAAGAACCCCGGCGAGGGGAGUGAAAAAGAACCUGAAACCGUGUACGUACAAGCAGUGGGAGCACGCUUAGGCGUGUGACUGCGUACCUUUUGUAUAAUGGGUCAGCGACUUAUAUUCUGUAGCAAGGUUAACCGAAUAGGGGAGCCGAAGGGAAACCGAGUCUUAACUGGGCGUUAAGUUGCAGGGUAUAGACCCGAAACCCGGUGAUCUAGCCAUGGGCAGGUUGAAGGUUGGGUAACACUAACUGGAGGACCGAACCGACUAAUGUUGAAAAAUUAGCGGAUGACUUGUGGCUGGGGGUGAAAGGCCAAUCAAACCGGGAGAUAGCUGGUUCUCCCCGAAAGCUAUUUAGGUAGCGCCUCGUGAAUUCAUCUCCGGGGGUAGAGCACUGUUUCGGCAAGGGGGUCAUCCCGACUUACCAACCCGAUGCAAACUGCGAAUACCGGAGAAUGUUAUCACGGGAGACACACGGCGGGUGCUAACGUCCGUCGUGAAGAGGGAAACAACCCAGACCGCCAGCUAAGGUCCCAAAGUCAUGGUUAAGUGGGAAACGAUGUGGGAAGGCCCAGACAGCCAGGAUGUUGGCUUAGAAGCAGCCAUCAUUUAAAGAAAGCGUAAUAGCUCACUGGUCGAGUCGGCCUGCGCGGAAGAUGUAACGGGGCUAAACCAUGCACCGAAGCUGCGGCAGCGACGCUUAUGCGUUGUUGGGUAGGGGAGCGUUCUGUAAGCCUGUGAAGGUGUACUGUGAGGUAUGCUGGAGGUAUCAGAAGUGCGAAUGCUGACAUAAGUAACGAUAAAGCGGGUGAAAAGCCCGCUCGCCGGAAGACCAAGGGUUCCUGUCCAACGUUAAUCGGGGCAGGGUGAGUCGACCCCUAAGGCGAGGCCGAAAGGCGUAGUCGAUGGGAAACAGGUUAAUAUUCCUGUACUUGGUGUUACUGCGAAGGGGGGACGGAGAAGGCUAUGUUGGCCGGGCGACGGUUGUCCCGGUUUAAGCGUGUAGGCUGGUUUUCCAGGCAAAUCCGGAAAAUCAAGGCCGAGGCGUGAUGACGAGGCACUACGGUGCUGAAGCAACAAAUGCCCUGCUUCCAGGAAAAGCCUCUAAGCAUCAGGUAACAUCAAAUCGUACCCCAAACCGACACAGGUGGUCAGGUAGAGAAUACCAAGGCGCUUGAGAGAACUCGGGUGAAGGAACUAGGCAAAAUGGUGCCGUAACUUCGGGAGAAGGCACGCUGAUACGUAGGUGAAGCGACUUGCUCGUGGAGCUGAAAUCAGUCGAAGAUACCAGCUGGCUGCAACUGUUUAUUAAAAACACAGCACUGUGCAAACACGAAAGUGGACGUAUACGGUGUGACGCCUGCCCGGUGCCGGAAGGUUAAUUGAUGGGGUUAGCGCAAGCGAAGCUCUUGAUCGAAGCCCCGGUAAACGGCGGCCGUAACUAUAACGGUCCUAAGGUAGCGAAAUUCCUUGUCGGGUAAGUUCCGACCUGCACGAAUGGCGUAAUGAUGGCCAGGCUGUCUCCACCCGAGACUCAGUGAAAUUGAACUCGCUGUGAAGAUGCAGUGUACCCGCGGCAAGACGGAAAGACCCCGUGAACCUUUACUAUAGCUUGACACUGAACAUUGAGCCUUGAUGUGUAGGAUAGGUGGGAGGCUUUGAAGUGUGGACGCCAGUCUGCAUGGAGCCGACCUUGAAAUACCACCCUUUAAUGUUUGAUGUUCUAACGUGGACCCGUGAUCCGGGUUGCGGACAGUGUCUGGUGGGUAGUUUGACUGGGGCGGUCUCCUCCUAAAGAGUAACGGAGGAGCACGAAGGUUGGCUAAUCCUGGUCGGACAUCAGGAGGUUAGUGCAAUGGCAUAAGCCAGCUUGACUGCGAGCGUGACGGCGCGAGCAGGUGCGAAAGCAGGUCAUAGUGAUCCGGUGGUUCUGAAUGGAAGGGCCAUCGCUCAACGGAUAAAAGGUACUCCGGGGAUAACAGGCUGAUACCGCCCAAGAGUUCAUAUCGACGGCGGUGUUUGGCACCUCGAUGUCGGCUCAUCACAUCCUGGGGCUGAAGUAGGUCCCAAGGGUAUGGCUGUUCGCCAUUUAAAGUGGUACGCGAGCUGGGUUUAGAACGUCGUGAGACAGUUCGGUCCCUAUCUGCCGUGGGCGCUGGAGAACUGAGGGGGGCUGCUCCUAGUACGAGAGGACCGGAGUGGACGCAUCACUGGUGUUCGGGUUGUCAUGCCAAUGGCACUGCCCGGUAGCUAAAUGCGGAAGAGAUAAGUGCUGAAAGCAUCUAAGCACGAAACUUGCCCCGAGAUGAGUUCUCCCUGACCCUUUAAGGGUCCUGAAGGAACGUUGAAGACGACGACGUUGAUAGGCCGGGUGUGUAAGCGCAGCGAUGCGUUGAGCUAACCGGUACUAAUGAACCGUGAG